rnacentral:rRNA from 1 species
AUUGAACGCUGGCGGCGUGCCUAACACAUGCAAGUCGAGCGGUAACAGGUGUAGCAAUACAUGCUGACGAGCGGCGAACGGGUGAGUAAUGCUUCGGAAUCUGCCCAUGUAGUGGGGAAUAACCAGCCGAAAGGUUGGCUAAUACCGCAUACGACCUACGGGUGAAAGCAGGGGAUCGCAAGACCUUGCGCUAUUGGAUGAGCCGAAGUCGGAUUAGCUAGUUGGUAGGGUAACGGCCUACCAAGGCGACGAUCCGUAGCUGGUCUGAGAGGACGACCAGCCACACUGGGACUGAGACACGGCCCAGACUCCUACGGGAGGCAGCAGUGGGGAAUAUUGGACAAUGGGGGCAACCCUGAUCCAGCGACGCCGCGUGUGUGAAGAAGGCCUGC